UGUAGAAGUUAUCUCAUUAUGGAGACUUUAGUAUCGUCAAUGACUUUCGAAAACUCCUGAGUAAGUGGUCUGGAAUUAACCCUUUCAGCAAGUACUUCCAUGAACAUCUUCAUCAAGUCGGAACUGCUAGAAAAGAUGUACUGAUCUUAGCACAGGACCAUAAUGACCAAGUAGACAAAGUGUAUCAAAUAUUGACAGCCUGUUUCGAACUUACAGCUACUAAAGUUGUC
rnacentral:sRNA from 1 species